rnacentral:snRNA from 1 species
CCGACCCGUGGGCCGAGC